rnacentral:rRNA from 1 species
AUUGAACGCUGGCGGAAUGCUUUACACAUGCAAGUCGAACGGUAGAGGGGGCAACCCCUCGAGAGUGGCGAACGGGUGAGUAAUAUAUCGGAACGUGCCCAGUCGUGGGGGAUAACGUAGCGAAAGUUACGCUAAUACCGCAUACGAUCUAAGGAUGAAAGCGGGGGAUCGCAAGACCUCGCGCGAUUGGAGCGGCCGAUAUCAGAUUAGGUAGUUGGUGGGGUAAAGGCCCACCAAGCCAACGAUCUGUAGCUGGUCUGAGAGGACGACCAGCCACACUGGAGCUGGGACACGGUCCAGACUCCUACGGGAGGCAGCAGUGGGGAAUUUUGGACAAUGGGCGAAAGCCUGAUCCAGCCAUUCCGCGUGCAGGAUGAAGGCCCUCGGGUUGUAAACUGCUUUUGUACAGAACGAAAAGGUUUCUACUAAUACUAGGAGCUCAUGACGGUACUGUAAGAAUAAGCACCGGCUAACUACGUGCCAGCAGCCGCGGUAA